UUCUCACCUUCAGCCGAGGUGCCAAGUCAGAGCCAUGCUGAGCCCACCUCUUUCGUUUUUCCGGGGUCUUCUCGACACCCCCUUACUUCUCCUUCCAACAAUAUUAGCUAACUUCCCCUGGGCCCUCCUCCUCUCUGUGACCCAUGACUCCUCCACCUGCCUAAACUUUGCACUCCAUUCAGCCUGGAUCCCCUCCCUGGCCUCCAGCCCUCUGCGCCCACGGCACCGGGGCCAGCAGAAGACUGCUUUCUUUGGGUUCCAGCUACACUCACCUCCCGCGACGAUUCUACAGAGACUCCACAUUUGAGUCUUCAAAGGUGCCAGAGACUCACACUCCACUGUAAGCACAAGCUGGGGGAGGUGGGGCUCCGAAGUUUCAGCCUGCUUUGGAGUUUGGUUUGCUUUUUGUUUUUUACACACUGCAGCCGAGAACUCAAUGGAGCCAGCCCGCAGAGCACCCACCGUGUGCUGGGCAGCAGAUGCAAAGGGGGGGCCCACCGGCUGGCCUCAUAGCAGGCGCUGCAGAGGGAGGGCGCAAGUCCACCCUCCUCUCCUCAGCAACUGAGGACCCCAGUCUGCCACUGCUCAGCAGUCUAAUCCAGGUCCUGGAAUCCGAGGCAGCUGUCAUUUCCACAUUUCCCUUUACCUCAUACCAGAGCCCACUGGACAUUGGAGUGGCCUAAAGGAACUCCCAGGAGGCCAGGGUAGGGGAAAGCUGUUCAAGAGGCUGAGUUGGCGCCAGCUGGAGUCUGGGACACAGCGGGCAGAGACCAUGACAAAAGAAACCACAACCAAUCAAAACAUGGAGUUUGUAGAGUCUGGUCCCGACGGAUACGUCGACGACAUGACUUCCACAGCCAAGGCUCCGGGAUCAUUGCGGAAGAGGGGCAGAGAUUGUAAGAGCCAGAUCAUCAGGGAGUUUGCUAAGAGACUGUGUCUCCUAGGAAUGUCAGAAGCUACACCCGUAAACUCUCGCCAUCACGGCCGCCUAAACACAAGCUGAGCAAGGACAGUGAUGAUAGACAAGCCAAAGCGGAUGGAGAAAAGUCAAUGAAGCCUCAGGCCUACAUAAAGAAAUGCAGACAACUGAAGAAUGUGGAGAGCAGGAGAAAUAGUCUUCCCCAGAGAUGAGCUGCCAGCCCUGACGUCGUGUAUGUACAAGUCAUAUUUUAUAGACUGAAAACGUUGUGUGUAAGCACAUACAGACAUAUGUUUAUGUAGACAUAUAUAAUUAUUAUGCACACAUGUAACAGAAAAAGGCCAUGAAAAAGAAAUCAAGGGACACUGGUACAGGGGAGGAAUUGCCAGGAGGAAAAGGGAGGGCGGAAUGAUGUGAUUAUAUCUCAAAAGAUAGAAAAAAUAUAUUGAAAAUAAAUAAAAUGGGGUCAGUGGGGCAAUGCUCAGCCUAGCAGCCACCCUUUCACAAUACAGAGCAACAGAAGAGAUGCUCCACCCCCACCCCACCCCACCGUCCAAUGGGCCUAAAGUAACUGACAGGACAGCUCUUCUCCACAGAGACAUUGUGGGCAUUCCACAACCUUACAUCAUUAUCCUCCCUUAAAGCACCCAUCACUGGGCACCUGGCCGGGCACCAAGACAGAGAGACUGUGAACGCAUCACUCCGAUUCACAUUUCCUUCUCCGAUCCGUGUCACCUGCACACACAUGCUUCAUAAACACGCUCACAGUAAUAAAAAUGAAAUGAUUUUAAAGAUGAAGAACCAUUUCCCGCAGCAGGGAGGAAGAAUACCGUGUUAUUUUUAAAGCAAUUCCCUCUUCAGAAGAA